UAGGGAGGCUGAGGACCACUGUGUUACAGGAUCACAGUGUUAGGGAGGCUGAGGACCACUGUGUUACAGGAUCACAGUGUUAGGGAGGCUGAGGACCAUUAUGUUACAGGAUCACAGUGUUAGGGAGGCUGAGGACCACUGUGUUACAGGAUCACAGUGUUAGGGAGGCUGAGGACCACUGUGUUACAGGGUCACAGUGUUAGGGAGGCUGAGGACCACUGUGUUACAGGGUCACA